CUGUUCUGAUACCUGCUGGACUGAUUGUUGCUCUAUCAGUAUUAUUUUUGCUUUACUGGACAAAGACGUGCAAGCAACAAGUUUAUCAGUAUGUUAAGCUGAAUUAUACUGAAGUGAAAAGCACAUCUCAGUAUUCAGAGGAGGCUCAUAAGAAAGGCAGUGCUGGAGUGACAGAAGACCAGCGCACACCGGUGGUGUACUCUGCUAUAAGGACGUAACUCUGUAUUUUACCAUCAGCUUAUCUGUUUUCACAUUUUGAAAUGAUUUUUGUUGACCGCUUUAUUCCAUAUCCUGUAUCAGUGGCCUGAUGUUUAGAGCUUGAACAUUGACUCAUUUUCUGUACUUGUGCUACGUCUAUUAAGCUUUAAAUAUUAUUAAACAUUUUAUUUCUACUGAUUGUAGUGGGAAAAGAUAAA